rnacentral:lncRNA from 11 species
CCCUUCUAGACUUAAUGUCAUGGGAAACCUUUACUUUCUAGACUUCUAGACACAACUAGACUUAAUGUCAAGGGGAAACCUCUACCUUUACCUUCUAUGGAGAGCCUGGAUGGCCAUCUUUAGGAGUGCUUUAAUUGUGCCUCUGAGGAGCCCUUCCAUCUCUGUGAUUCCAUGAUUGAGAUGGGGAUUAGGAUGUUCUGUGUCUGAUGAACUUAGCCAACAAACGUAACCAUGGACAUGGCCAAAGCUCCUUGUUAAUCUUGUUGACUUUUCUGCCUUUCUUUCUCCCAAAAGGUGACAACGAGAUUGUGAAUAACAUGUACGAAACUGAGGUGGACCUCCUAGCCGGCGAGAGCGCAGAAGAGGAGACCGAGGACAGCAUCAUGUCCCCCAUCCCCGUCGGUCCGCCCUCGCCGUUCCCCACGGGCGAGGACUUCGACCCCAAGGAAGGCUCGCCCUACGAAGCCCCCGUCUACAUCCCCGACGACAUUCCGAUCCCAACAGACUUUGAACUGAGGGAGUCCUCCAUUCCAGGGGCCGGGCUGGGCAUUUGGACCAAAAAGAAGAUCGACGCCGGGGAGAGACUGGGGCCUUGCGUGGCUUUCCCUGGAACGACGCUGAAGGACACCAACUUCGGGUGGGAGCAAAUGCUGACGGAUCCCGAGAGCAGUUUGCAAGAUGGCUGCAUCAAAAAGGUAGGACAAAGGUUGAAUCUCGUUCAGGUUGUAUAACUUUGGCGUUUGGCGAAGCUGGAACUGUUUGCCUUGUCUGUCACUCUCUUGCAAGAGAAAAGGAAUCUCUCUCCAGAACCGUCACUUCGGGUUCUUGACCUUGCUGACUGGGCGUUUCUGGUUUGUGUGCUCAGUCUUUUGGUUUUGUGUUGUAAGUCGGUCUCAAUUCGCUCUGGUCUAAGAAUACAUUUGAACCCAUUCCUGAGGUCAUUUGGGGGUAUUGAUUCUAAAUAUUGCAAUGGAUAGACUGCAUCAGCUCUA